GGUGGUGUAGCCAAGUGGUCUAAGGCAAUGGAUUGCAAAUCCAUCAUUCGGCGGUUCGAAUCCGCCCACCACCUC
rnacentral:tRNA from 2 species